ACGAGUCAUUCAUUCGCGUUCUGAUCCUAAGGCUCAAAGGAAGCACUGCUGAUUAAACUCCUAGCUGAAACUGCUUCACAGUAACUGAGGAUUUCACAAGAUUCAAGGUUAAAAAAGAAGCCAAGAAAAUGAACAAGGUUCUGUUGCUGUGUUUGGUGGUGCUUUGUGCUACGGUUGUUUUCGCAACUGCAGAUCUGAAGGAAGAGAAUGCACCAGAAAAGCGAACAUAUUGUUUAUGUAAAGGCAAAAUUGGUAAAGGAGAUCAAUGGUAUUUUCGGAGCAGCUGUCCAAGUGGUCAUGGAUAUACCAGUAAAUGCAGUAGUUGGAUAGACGUUUGCUGUUAUCCUCGUGCAUUUGGUGGAUAGACUGGUAGUGACUAACAAAGUAAAACAAAAGAAAACAGUAAAACUAGACUAGGAGAAUGGGUCUAAUUAUUUAGAAAAGUGGAUUUAAUGUCUGCUACUAAAUAAAAUCACUAGACGCUGACUAAUACAAUAAAAUCCGAGAGAUCUGAUAGACAGCCGCAAAUGUCUCUCUAACUCAAUCGAUCUCCCUCUUAAUUAAAAAGAGAAUGAAAACACAAAUCCAUGUAUCAGAAUGAUGUUAGAUUAAAUGGGCUGAACCCACAA